UGCUCUCAAAAUUGUCACUAGUGAUCAAUGGUUAUCUAAUCUUAAUUCUUUAACCCAUCUUUACUUGGAUUCCAUAUCUAAUUUUAACAAUUCUNCUAGUUGGCUUCGAACUAUUGCCAAGCUACCAAAACUAAGAGAACUGAGUUUAAUUGAAUGUGGCCUUUCCGAUCAUUUCCUCCUUUCAUUCAACCCUUCCAACUUCAAUUUUUCUACUUCCCUUUCUGUCCUUGAUCUUUCUAGUAACUCCUUCACACAACCCAUGGUAUUCCAGUGGGUGUCAAACACCACUUCACUACAAGAGUUGAGUUUGAGAAACAAUAAAAUCAAAGGCUCCUUAGCUGACCUUUCAGUGUUCUCAUCUUUAAAGAUAUUGGAUCUUUCUAGCAAUCAAUUGACGGGGAAGAUACCUGAAGGCAUUAGAUUGCCAUCUCAUUUGGAGAAGUUGUCAAUUAGAUCUAACUCUUUAGAAGGUGGUGUUCCAAAAUCAUUUGGGAGCAUAUGUACUUUGGAGUUAUUGGAUUUAUCUUCCAAUAAGUUGAGUGAAGAUCUUACGGUCAUAUUUAAUCAUUUGUCUGGAUGUUCUAGAUACUCACUACAAGAGUUGAGUUUGGCAUACAAUGAAAUCAGAGGCUCCAUACCUGACCUUUCAGCAUUUUCAAAUUUAAAAACGUUGUAUCUUGAUGAUAAUCAAUUGAGUGGGAAGAUACCUGAAGGCACUAGAUUACCAUCUCAUUUGGAGCAGUUGUUAAUUAGGUCUAACUCUUUAGAAGGUGGUGUUCCUAAAUCAUUUUGGAGCACAUGUACUUUGGAGUUAUUGGAUUUAUCUUCCAAUAAGUUGAGUGAAGAUCUCACAGUG
rnacentral:lncRNA from 1 species